CGCCGCUUCCCCCGUUCUCCGCCGUCUCCGCCAUGGCCGGAAUCGUGGUGGAUGGCCGAGCCUUGCCUCGCCGUGAAGAACCGCCGUUCGUGUCGCUGCGCCGCUGCUUCCGCCGCGUCGCCGGAAAAGAUAAGUCUCUCCCCCUUUUUCCCGUAUCUCUCUCUCUUUUUUUUAUUUUUACAGAAGCCCUAACCAUCUCUCUCUCUACCCUCUUCUCUCUCGUUUUGGCAGGACAAGGGCUAGCGGCUGUGCCGCCGCCGCCGUCGCCGACCGUGAGCAGCCCCCGGCUGCUCUCACCUCUUUCCCCAUUUUCGGACAUACACAGAAGGCAAAGACACAAGAACCCCCAAAUUUUUCAGUCCAGAUUCAAAAUAUAGAACAAGUUAGGGUUUUAAAAAUCUGUUCUUUCAUCAUUCAUUUCCUUUUUAUUAAAACUGAUUGUACAUGUAAUAGAUUAGAGAAUAUAGUAAAAUGUGUGCGUGUGUAUUAUUCUGUUGGUGGUUCUCUGAUGGUGAUAAGCUGAUGUAAUUGAAACAAUAAUAGUCUAAAAGAAGUGGUAAUGGAUGCGUGUGUUCGAUCUGUUUUCA